AAUGAGCAUCUCAAAAAUCCCCUUCAAACCUUCCAACCUCUCUGUUUCGUCAUUAAUUACUACGUUCCCAUUUCUCUCCUUCUUCCUCCUUAACCGAUGGGUCCUGCAGUUCUAAGCUCACACACCAAUUACACCAAUGGCGAUAAUUCUUCUCACGAAUCUGUAAUCAACAAUGUUAGUGGCGACGAUUGCCAUUGGUACGAAGAAAUCAUCGACGAAAACCUCAAAUGGUCCUUUGCUCUUAAUCGUGUUCUGCAGCAAGGAACCAGUGAGUUUCAGGAUAUCGCUCUUUUAGAUACGAAGCGUUUCGGAAAAGCAUUGAUGAUCGAUGGUAAGAUGCAAAGUGCUGAGGCCGACGAGUUUGUUUAUCAUGAAUGCUUAAUUCAUCCCGCUCUGUUAUGUCAUUCCAACCCAAAAAGUGUAUUCAUAAUGGGAGGUGGAGAAGGUUCAGCAGCAAGAGAAGUACUUAAACACAAAUCAAUAGAGAAGGUUGUAAUGUGCGAUAUUGAUCAGGAUGUGGUGGAUUUUUGCCGUAAACAUUUGACUGUGAAUCGAGAGGCAUUUUGUCACAAGAAACUUCAUCUUGUAAUAAACGAUGCAAGGGUGGAAUUGGAGAAGAGAAAGGAGAAAUAUGAUGUAAUAAUAGGAGACCUAGCAGAUCCAGUUAAGGAUGGGCCUUGCUACAAACUCUACACCAAAUCCUUUUAUCAUGACAUCGUCAAACCUAAACUUCACCACAAUGGCAUUUUUGUAACUCAGGCAGGACCAGCCGGAAUUUUCACCCACAAAGAGGUUUUUACCUCAAUUUAUAACACAAUCAAACAGACCUUCAACUAUGUGAUUGCUUACACUGCUUACAUACCAUCUUUUGCAGACACAUGGGGAUGGGUUAUGUUAUAUAUGUUUCGAAAAAACAGGCAUCAGAUCAUCCUUUCUGUAUAAAAUCUGAGGAAUUGGAUAAGAGAAUUGAGGAUAGAAUCAAUGGGGAGUUGCUCUAUUUAACUGGUCCUUCAAUUGUGUCUUCCACAAUCAUCAACAAGAUUGUCUCUUUAGCGUUAUUGAAUGAAACUCACAUCUACACUGAAGCGACUGCAAAAUUCAUACAUGGUCAAGGAGUUGUUGGAUGCAAACAAUUGAAUGGGGGGAGUUGUGGUCGUGGUGUAUAAAUAUACCAUAAUUAAUGAGGACCCUAAAAUAUAUCACACUUUAAUUAAAGACAUCGUUAAUAUAAAAAUCUAAUCAAAAUUAUUACUUUUCACUUAUUUGGUAUAAAAAAAAAAGGAAAGAAAAUUUAGUUGUAUUAUUGAUCAUCUUUUUAAUAUAUAAAUUAGAGUUAGUUGACAAAGUAAGCAGAGCACAAUGAUAUAGUUGGAAUGUAUUAUACCAGGAUCAAAGGAAUUAUUACUAGCCUUUUAACUUUGUUCCAUAUUUAAUAAUAUAUUGUUACAUAAUAGUUAUCUUAUAAUAGAUAUUAUGUUGGUGUGUAGUAA